UACAGAGGUCUCGAGCGUUAGGCGGAAUCACUGGGCUUAAAGCGUGUGUAGGCGGAUUGGUAAGUACCUUGUGAAAUCCCACGGCUUAACCGUGGAACUGCUUGGUAUACUGCCAGUCUUGAGCCAGCUAGGGGCUACCGGAACAAAUGGUGGAGCGGUGAAAUGCGUAGAUAUCAUUUGGAACGCCAAAGGUGAAAACAGGUAGCUGGGGCUGUGCUGACGCUGAGACACGAAAGCCAGGGGAGCAAACGGG
rnacentral:rRNA from 1 species